ACAGUGCUGAAGUGGUUCCUCUAACGGUGGCCACGGAUUUGCUGUAGUCGGGUGCUUGUAGUUAGGGAGAGUCUGAUUCCCUCCAGAGAGCCAGAACAGGGUGCUCUCCAAGGUCUUGGGAUCACGGGGACAGGUCUGGUAUACAUCGAAACCCAGGGGCAGGUUGGCGAGUUGAGGAGAGUUCUUGUUGGUCUCCUCAAGGGUGAAGGAAAGGCCAGUUCAGGCUGGUAAUUCUUCCAGACACACCUAAGCCAAGGGGCAGCACUUGGGAGAAUGGUCGAGUCAUGCCAUUCAGGGACAAAUGCUAAGCCAGGCCAAGGGAAAGGCCAGGUUCUGGACUCAGGUUACCCAUCCAGAGAUGCUCCUGUUUUGGCAGAUGGAGGUGGUGUGAACAUGGUUCCCAGGGCUAUGGGACACCCUGGCAUGGCUCUCUCACUGUGAUGAGGCAAAUCGUGUCCAAAUCAGCAAGAUGGGAUUGCAGGGCGCUGUGAGGGUGGGGAGAUGGCAUUGAGCUGGAUGGUGUGGCUGUCAACUGGAUAGAUUUUUUGUUAGCUCCCACAAAUGGAAGAUGCAUCUGUGCAUGGACCACAUGGCAAGAUAUUCUCGAGGUCUGUGAUUGAGGAGUACAAACGCCAUCUCAUCGACCACUUUGGAAAGACUGAGUUGAAUCCCAACGUGAUCCUGUUUUCGCUUGUACUGGAAGCCAAGCUGCAAGCAUCCGUCCCCACUUUGGACCUGGAAUAGUUUAAAUGGCACCCGACUUACCAGUUCCUCAAAUAUUUUGAGCAUUGCCUUCCAACUCCAUAUUCACCUGAGGCAUUACAAGGGACUCACAUUUUUAGAUUCUCUUCUCAUAAGUCAGCUAUUAGGAAGCCAGUUUUGGUAACUUCUAUGUGCCUUGAACAAGAAACAUUUCAUCCAGAUUUGCUAAUUUCUUUCCUCGUGGACUUCCACAAUCUACGUCGAAUUUGGAAACCCAAAGAUGGGCUAAAUGGUGCCUCCUGUGCCCACAGCUGUACUCCCGCAACAAACUAAAUAUUUCCACGUGCCGGGUCAGCUCUCAGGAGCACCCCAGUCGUGGAGCAGACACUCUUGGGACACCCAUGCCUUCAUCCUGGCCCUGGACUAGCCCUGGGACCUGCCAUGACUCUUUCUCCUCUGAGGGACAGCACAGCCUUCCCCACCUUUCUCUGGCAAGUCUCUUUCCUGUGUGGCUGUGCCGCAUUAGGAAGGGCAUGGGCUGCCAGGAGCCAGGAUUGAUCCUCAGCUUCGGGCUGUGCUGAGAUGGACUCCCUGGCAGAGCCUAGCGUGCCAUGUGUUUGAGUGAUGCUUGCAGCCAUCAGGGAGGAUGGGAGAAGUCAGAAGUGCCAGGGGCUUCACCCAGCCCUUGUCUUUCAGGCUCUUUCCAAGGGACGAGAUUGCAAAGGCUGGGUGGUCAGGCUUUUGCUUCUGGUUCUGGAGCCAGUGCUCCAGCUGAGCUCAGAGGAGUGUCUGUUUAGCACCCAGAUGGGAAGCAUUUCAUCAUUUCCCUCAGUAAGGCUGUGUCCACACAGGUGGAAGGUGGAAGAGGCAUGGCCAGCAAGUAGUUCAGGCGUGGCCAUCAAGUGGUUCAGUUGUGUCGGCCAACUGGUACAAACAUGACCGGCACAUGGUUCAUGAUGUCCAGGAUAUGGUUUAGGUGUGUCAGACACAUGGUUCAGGGGUUUCCAGGAUAUGGUUCAGGCCUGUCCAGAAGGUGGUUCAGGCAUGCCUGGCAGGUGUUUCACCCAUGUCCAGCAGGUGGCUCAUGAGUGUCUGGCAUGUGGUACAGGUGUCUGACACCUGGUACAGGCGUGUCCAGCAUGUGGUACAGGACUGGUGGCACUUGCUUCAGGCGAGCCUGACAGGUCGUUCAGAGAUGUCCUGCUCAUGGUUCAUGGGUGGCAGUUGUGUGGUUCAGGAGUGGCUGGCACGUGGUUCCAGUGUGUCUGUCAGAUGGUUAAGGUGUGUCCAGAAUGUGGUUCAAGCCUGUCUGGCAGGUGCUUCAAGUGUGUAGGGCAGGUUGUUUAGGUGUGUUGGGCACAUAGUUCAGGUGUGGCAGUCAUGUGCUUCAGGCGUGGCUGGCGUGUAGUUCAGGCAUGGCAGUCCUGUGGUUCAUGUGUGGCUGGUACUUGGUACAGAUAUGGAUGAAAAUUGGUUUAGGUGUGGUCGGCAUGUGGUUCAUGCAUGGACAGCAUGUGGUUUUUGCGUGGCUAUCACGUGGUACAGCUUUGGACGUCAGGUGGAUCUGGCGUGCUCAGCACGUGGUUCUGGCUUGCUUGAUCAGCAUGUUGUUCAGGCAUGGCAGGCACAUGUUCCAGGCAUGGCAGCCGCGUGGUUCAGGUGUGGCUGGCACUUGUUUGAGGCAUGGACGAAUCUUGGUUCAUGGGUGUCCGGCACGUGGUUCAGGCUUGGUUGGCAUGUGGUUUAGUUAUGUUCGGCAGGUGGUUCAUGCAUGCCUUGCAGGUGUUUCCAGCAUGUCUGUUACAUAGUUCAGGCAUGUCUGGCACCUAGUGCAGGUGUGUCCAGCAUGUGGUACAGGCAUGGCCAGCACAUGGCUCAGGCAUGUUCAGCACAUGGUUCAGGCAUAGCCGUCACGUGGUUCUGAACUUUUCCGCACGUGGUUUAGGCAUUUCAGGCAGGUGCUUCAUGCAUGUCCGUCAGGUGGUUCAAGUGUGUCCAGCACUUUGUUCAGGCAUGUCUGGCAUGUUUUUCAGGCACGUCUGGCAGGUGGUUUCAGCUUCUCUGGCAGGUGGUUCAGGCUUGUCUAGCAGGUGGUUCAGAGGUUUCCAGCAUUUGGUUACAGGUUGCAGGCACAUGGUUCAGGCGUUUCAGGCAGGUGGUUCAGGAGUGUCCAGCAGGUGGUUCAAGCGUGUAUGGCAGCUGGAUCAGGCAUGUAUGGCAGGUGGUACAGGCAUGUAGCAAACAUGGUUCAGGUGUGUGUGGCAAGUUGGUCAGUCAUGGCCGACACAGGGUUCAGGCAUGGCUGUCACGUGGUUCAGGCAUGACAUGCAUGGGGUUCAGGUGUGGUUGAAACUUACUAUCGGCAUGGCCAGCACGUGGUUCAGGAAUCGAUGAAACUUGGUUCAUGCAUGUCUGGCAUGUGGUUCAGGUGUGUCCGGCACUAUCUUCAGGCAUGUCACGUUGGUGGUUCGGGCGUGUCUGACACGUGGUUCAGGAAUGUCUGCCCGGUGGUUCGGCCAUGCCCGGGACAUGGUUCAGGCCUGUCUGGCAGGUGGUUGAGGCAUGUCCGGCAGGUGGUUCAAGCGUGGGCAGCAUGUGGUUCAGGAGUGUAUGGCACAUGGUUCAGGCAUGGAUGAAACUUGUUUCCUGGGUUUCUGGCAUGUGUUUCAGGCAUGUCUGGCAUGAGCUUCAGGCCUGUUGGGCAGGUGGUUCAGGCAUGUCUGGUACGUGGUUCAGGAGUUCAUGCCAAGUGGUUUAGACAUGUUUGGCACAUGGUUCGUGAGUGUCAGGCUGGUGGUUCAGGUGUUUCCUUCAGGUGGUUCAGGCGUGUCCAUCAUGUGGUUCAGGCAUGUCUAGCAUGUGUUUCAGGCAUGUCUGGCAGGUGGCAGAGGGGUGUCUGGCAGGAGGUUCAUCAUUGACCAGCAUGUGGUUCAGGUGUGGCUGACACAUGGUUCAGGUGUGUUCACCAGGUGGUUCAUGCAUGGCCAGCACGUGGUUCAUGUGUGUCCGGAACGUGAUUUAGAUAUGUCAGACACGUGGUUCAGGGUUUUCUGGGAUGUGAUUCAGGGGUUUCUGGCAUGUGGUUCAGGACUGUCUGGCAGGUGGUUCAGGGGUGUCAGGCACUUGGUUCAGGUGUGUCCUUCACAUGGUUCAGGUGAGGAUGGCACAUGGUUCAGUAAUGGCCGACAUGUGGUUCAGUCGUGACCGGCAUAUGGUUGAGGUAUGGAGGGCAUGUGGUUCAGGCAUGUUGGGCAUGUGAUUUGGCUUGCCCUGCACAUGGUUCUGGCAUGGCGGGCACAUUGUUCUGGCAUGGCCAGCUCGUGGUUCGGGCGUGAAUGUCACAGGGUUCAGGUGUGGCUAGCACAUCGUUACCACGUGGAUGUAAUUUGGUCCUUGCGCAGCACACACGUGGUUCAGGCUUGGCUGGCAUGUGGUUCCGGUCUGGAUGGCACAUGGUUCCAGUGCGGCUGGCAUGUGGUUUCAGUGUGGGUGUCGCGUGCUUCAGGCAUGGAAGGCAUGUGGUUCCAGCAUGGUUGGAAGGUGUAUGUGGCGUGGAUGGCAUGUGUGUCAGGCGUGGCCUACAUGUGGUUCAGGCAUUGUCAGCACGUGGUUCAUGCAUUAAAAGCAUGUGGUUCAAUAUUUGAUUGCACGUGGUCCAGGUAAGAUUGACGCACGGUUCAGGCAUGGCUGACAAGUGGUUCAGGCAUUGCUGGCAUGUGUUCAGGCGUGGCUUGCGCAUGGUUCACAUGUGAUUCAGGGGUGCCUGACAUGUGGUUCAGGCAUGGGCGACCCAUGUCACACACAUGGAUCGGGUGUGUUUCAUACGUGACUCACAUGUUGUUCAGGUGUGUUUCAUGCAUGAUUCAUGUGUGCUGCACACGUGGUUCACAUGUGGGUCAAGUGUGGCUCACAUGAGGUUCAGACAUGGUUCUGGAGUUGCUCACACAUGAUUCAGGUGUGGCUCUGUGGUGGUGCACAUGUGGCUGACACAUGCAUCACAUGUUGAUCACAUGUGGUUCAAGCAUGGAUCACAUCUGUUUCAGGCAUAGCUAACACGUGACUUAGGCAUGGCUGACAGCUGACUCAGGAUUGGCUCAAAGGUUAUUCAGACAUGGCUCGCAUGUGGUUCAGGUGUGGCUGACACAUGACUCAGGCCUGUCUCACAGGUGGUCCAGACCUGGCUGACACUUGGCUAAGGCAUGACUGCAACAUGGCUCAUGUAUGGCUUACACAUAGCUCAGGUGUGGCAGACACGUGGCUCAGGUGUGUCACACUCGAGGCUCACUUGUGGCUCACACAUUGCUCAGGAGUGGCUCACGAAUUACUCAGGUGAGGCUGAUGUAUGGAUGAAGCACAGUUUAGGCUUUGAUGGCUCGUGUUUCAGGUGUGCCUGGAACGAAUAUCAGGACUGGAUGACAAGUUUUUCAGGUAUGGCUGGCAUGAAUUUGGGGCAUGGUUGACACGUGGUUCAUGUGUGCCUGGCCUGUGGUUCAGGUGUGGUGGGCACUUGUUUCCUGCAUAGCCCCACGUGGUGCAGGCAUGGUUCAAACGUGAUUCAAGCUUGCCUGAAAAGUGUUUCAGGAGUGGCUGACAUGUAACUCAGGCGUGGAUCACAUGUGGUUCAGGCGUGGCUCACAUGUGGCUCAGGCAUUGAUCUUGUGUUGCUCACAUGUUCCUCAGAUGUUGUUCAAGUGUGGCUCACAGGUGUUUCACUCAUGGUUUAGGGAUCACUCACACAUUGUUCAGGCAUAGUGCAGGUGUGGUUCACAUGUAGUUCAGAUUUGGCUCAAGUGUGUCUCACAUGUGGCUCAGGCAUGGUUCAGGCAUAGGCCAGGUGUGGCUCACAAAUGGCUCCGUGUGGGUCACACAUGUUUCUGGUGAGGCUGACACGUGUUUCAGGCGUGUGUGGCAUGUGGAUCCAGCAUGGUUGGCAUGUGGUUCAGGUGUGGCUAGUGCGUGGUGCAUGCGUGGCAGGCCUGUGGUUAAUGUGAGGCCAGUAAGUGGUUCUGGCGUGGCUGGUACAUGGUUCAGGUGUUGAUGGUACGUAGUUCAGGCAUGGCCAUCAUGUGCUUCAGGAGUGGAUAGCACAUGGUUCAGGCCUGGCUAGCAUGAGUAUCAGGUGUGCCUAGCACAUGGUUCUCAUGUGGCUGGCACAUGAUACAUGUGUGGCAGAAAUGUGGUUCAGGCAUGUCUGAUGUCAGUGAAAAUAAUCCAUAACCAAUCUAUAAAUGAAAAUUUGGGAGGGUUUAUUCUGAGCUGAAACCUGAGGACCAUGACCUGGGGCCUUUCUUCCCGAAGGUAGAAAGGGCACCAAAGAAGUGGGGUGUACAGAGUGGUUGCAUACCCCCAGAGAAGAUGUUUCAUAUAGGAUUGAAAUGUCCCAUUUACAAUAGUGCGAGACUGCUCUGUCGGCACAGUGAUUGAUGGAAGUAGCAGGUAUGUCUUCUGUCUCAGUGAACACAGCAGGGUGGCAGUCUGUUGUCUCCAGCUGAGUGGUCACAAGUGAGCGCCGCAAUCAGUUCCUAGCCUAAGAAAAGAUGCUUAAUAUUUAAGGAAAUGCCAACGUUGGGAGGGGGAGGGAAGUUGCACCUUUAUUGAAAGGGCCUUUGUUCUUGCCAUAGGAAAUGUAUAUACAAUGCAUGCUCAAUGGCCACGGUCAGGCCCUUUUGGAAAAAACAAAGUCAGGCCAAAUUAGCUUUAUACCAAAUGGCUUCCUCAUAUACUUCAAUAUAUACUAUUGCUUGCCAUUUUUAUUUGUCACGUUGUUCAGGAGUUGAUGGCAUGUGGUUCCAGCAUGGCUGUCACGUGUUACAGAGGUGGAUGGCACGUGGUCAGGCAUGUGUGACAUGCAACUCCGGUGUUGGUGACAUGUGAUGCAGGUGUGUGUGCCACAUGCCUCACACGUGAUUCAGGAGCAGCUGUCACGUGGUUCAUGCCUGGCAGGCACUUGGUUCAGACUUGGCUGGCAUGUAUUUCAGGAGUGGCUCACAUGUGGCUCACGUGUGGCUGACACGUGGCUCACACAUGGCUCAGGUGUUUUUCAAGUGGGUCCCACAUGUGGUUCAGGCAUUGCUGACAUGUCAUUCAGGCACGGCUUGCAUGUUGUUUACAUGUGGUUCACAGGUGGUUCAGGCGUGGCUUCCAUGUGGCUCACAUAUGGCUCAGACAUGGCUCUUGUGUCGCUCACAUGUUUCUCAGAUGUUGUUCAAGCAUUGCUCUCAGUUGUUUCAGGCAUGGUUCAGGUGUGUCUCACAUAUGGUUCAGGUGUAGUUCAGGUGUGGCUCACAUGUGGUUCAGGCAUGGUUCAGGUGUGGCUCACACAUGGCUCAGGUGUAGUUCAGGUGUGGCUCACAAAUCGUUCACGUGUGGGUCACACAUGUUUCUGUUGAGGCUGACACGAGGUUCAGGUGUGGCUCACACAUGGCUCAGGUGUGGCUGACAUGUGGUUCAGGUGUGGCUGAUAGGUGCUUCCAGCAUGGGUGACACAUGGUUCAGGUGUGUCUGACAGGUUGUUCAGGCAUGCUGACACGUACCUAAGGUAUGGCUCACACGUGACUCAGGCAUUGCUGACACAUGAUUGAGAUGUGGUUCACACGUGACUCAGGUGUGGCUGACAGGUCACUCAGUGGUGGCUUACACAAAGUUCAGGAGUGGCUGAUGCUUGUUUCAGGCAUAGCUGCUGUGUGGCUCAGGGGUGGCUGGAGUGUGUUUCAGGCGUGGCUGGCAUGUGGUUCAGGUAGGGGUGAGAAAUGGUUCAUGCAUUGGUGACACAUGGCUCAGGCAUGGGUGACAGGUGGUUCAGGCUUGUCUGACACGUGGCUCAAGAGUGGCUGGCAUGUGGCUCAUGCUUGACUGAGGCAUGGCUGUUGCACGGUUCAGGUGUGGCUGGCUCGUGGUUCAGACGUGGCUGGCAUGUGGUUCAUGUGUGGCUGACACAUGUUUCAUGCUUAGUUGACUUGUGGUUCAGGAAUGGGUCACACGUGGCUCUGGCAUGUCUCUCACUUGUCUCCAGCUUGUCUCACAAGUGAUGCAAGCAUUUCCUGAUCAUGUUUCAGGCCUUUUUUACAUGGUUCAGGCAUGGAUGAGAUGUGGUUCAGGCAUAGCCAGCUGUUGGUUCGGGCAUUGGUGUCACAUUGUGCUGACGUGGCCAGCAUGUGUUUCAGGCGAGGCUUAAAUGUGAUUCAGGCAUCAAGAAAAUGUGAUUCUGGCAUGGUCGAAAUGUGGGUCACACAUGGCUGUCACGUGUACAGGCGUGGCAGAAGUGUGGUCCAGGUGUGGUGGAAAAGUCAUUCAGGCAUGGUAGAAACGUGGUUCACGGAUGGCAGAAACGUGGUUCAGGUGUGGUGGGAACCUGGUUCAUGUGCUGAUGGCACAUUGUUCUGAGGUGGCCAACACAUGUGUUACAAGUGGCAGGGACAUUGUACAGGCGUGGCAGAAACGUGGUCCAGGCAUAGGGGAAAAGUCAUUCAGGUGUGGCAGAAACAUGGUUCAGGCUGGGCUGGCAUGUGGUUUAAGCAUGGAUGGCAUGUGGUUCUGGUGUGGCCAGCACAUGACACUGGUGUGGCCAGCAUGCUGUCAUGUGGUUCAGGCCUGGCUAAAAUGUGGAUCAGGUGUGGGUGACAUGCUGUUGUGACAUGGGUGACACAUCAUUCUGGUGUGGCUGCCACAUAGUCCACACAUGACUGACAUGUGGUCAAGGUGUGCUGACAUGUUGAUUGUGUGUGUCUGGCACAUGUUUAUGUCAUGUGGUUCAGGCAUGGCUGGCACAUGAUUCACACAUUGCUCACACUUGACUCAGGUGUGGAUCACAUGUGGUUCAGGCAUGGCUGACACAUGACUCAGGUGUGACUGAUACGUGAUUCAGGCUUGGCUUACACGUGGUUCAGGUGUAGCUCAGUCGUGGCUCACAUGAACUUCAGUCAUGGCACAAAUCUUCUACAUGCAUGGCUCUCAUGUGGUUCAUUUGUGGCUUGCAUGUGACUCUGGUGUGGCUCACACGUGGUCCCUGCAUGGCUUGCAGGUGGUUCAGGCAUGGAUGACACGUGGUUCAAGAGUGACUGACACAUGACCCAGGCAUGGCUCUCACAUGUUUCAGCCUUGG
rnacentral:lncRNA from 1 species